rfam:Medicago truncatula strain A17 chromosome 5, whole genome shotgun sequence.
AUAUAAGUAAAAAUUCACUUUUUAGAUACAUUCAAUUAAUGGUGUAUGUAGUCUUUAUUAUAUGCCACAUACAUCAUUAAUUUGAAUGUAUCUAAAAAGUGGAUUUUUGCUUAUAU